UUUUUGUCAUUAAAAAACUUUAUUUUUUUUUACAAAGGAUAACCCCACUUUGGGGUGAAAAUAUAUUUGGAUAAGUAGAAAAUAUAGUUUUUAAUCAUACAAAAAGAUACACAAAAUACAAAAACAACAAAACCGAAACCUCCAUCAGCUCGCAGACAUUCUGGCUGCACAGUUCUCAGGUGGAGCUGACACAGGACAAAGUGCUAAGGCUUAGUGAGCUUCCGAGCCAGGGCUGAGGCCACAGUGAAAGCAGCACUUUCUCCCAACACUGGACAGGAAAUGGGGUCUGGGGGCUUCUGUGCCCCGAUCAGUGCUGGGGCAUCUCAAUGUAGAAUGUCACCCAGGCUCCAGCUGUCAACCACAACCCUUCACAGGAUUAGUGUUAGAAUUACACAAGUCUGUGCGUUGGGAGAAAGCCUCAAAAGCAAUAACCAAGCUGGGCCUUUGAUCGCAGCACUCAGGAGGCAGAGGCAGGUGGAUCUCUCAGGCCAGCCUGGGUCUACAAUGUUCAGGGAUAGAGACCCUAACCCCCACCCUCCAAGUCACUGGGCUUAAUCCUUAAGAGACUGGUGGAGCUUACAUCUAUAACGGAGACUAAAACAAAAUUGACAAGCUAAAGUGCUAAGAACAUCACCUUAGAAUCAAUUCCAAGGGGUUACAGGGAAAUAACAGAUUCUCCCAUCUGAUUAUGCUUACAAGAGAACACAGUGCAACUGGCUGUAAAAUGGCUUUUAUGGCCGUCAGUGGGCACAGCUACUACUGCUCCCAGGGUGAAGUCAACUUGGAGCAGCUGCCCCGAAUUUCACAGGCUGCGUGCUCACCAGCCGUGGAAGGUCUUUUCUUUGUAAAGAUAUAAAAAAGGAACACUGACUUUAAAAAACACACAAAAACACUCCUCUUACAAAAUUUUGGCCAUGACUUGAAAUUGGCUCUGUCCCCCAUGGCACAGAUGAUGGUCUACUGAUAUUUUAGACAAUUUAAAAGUCCCUUUAAAACAAAAACCUUGGAAAGACAACGCCAGAAGGUCAGCAGUGCCCUGACUCAGUCAACACAAACAAGUUCUUCAUUUCCAACAUCCGAGAAAGUGGUCAGGUCUCAAUUUUUCUAAGAGUGUUCUGACAUCCACCCAGCAAACACUCCUAUGCCACAGUGCGGGCACUGGUCUGCACCACUUGAAGCCGGAGACCCGCCUACUGAUUGCCACCCAUCUUGAGGAGUCAGCGGCUGGGGUGUACCCGUUCCCCGCUGUAGAGACUGAGUCUCUGAAACACUGGAGUUCAAGCAGAGAGGC
rnacentral:lncRNA from 1 species